rnacentral:rRNA from 1 species
AACGAACGCUGGCGGCAUGCCUAACACAUGCAAGUCGAACGAGACCUUCGGGUCUAGUGGCGCACGGGUGCGUAACGCGUGGGAAUCUGCCCUUGGGUUCGGAAUAACAGCGAGAAAUUGCUGCUAAUACCGGAUGAUGACGUAAGUCCAAAGAUUUAUCGCCCAAGGAUGAGCCCGCGUAGGAUUAGCUUGUUGGCGAGGUAAGAGCUCACCAAGGCGACGAUCCUUAGCUGGUCUGAGAGGAUGAUCAGCCACACUGGGACUGAGACACGGCCCAGACUCCUACGGGAGGCAGCAGUGGGGAAUAUUGGACAAUGGGCGAAAGCCUGAUCCAGCAAUGCCGCGUGAGUGAUGAAGGCCUUAGGGUUGUAAAGC